CUAAUACAUGCAAGUCGAACGCUUUUUCUUUCACCGGAGCUUGCUCCACCGAAGAAAAAGAGUGGCGAACGGGUGAGUAACACGUGGGUAACCUGCCCAUCAGAAGGGGAUAACACUUGGAAACAGGUGCUAAUACCGUAUAACACUAUUUUCCGCAUGGAAGAAAGUUGAAAGGCGCUUUUGCGUCACUGAUGGAUGGACCCGCGGUGCAUUAGCUAGUUGGUGAGGUAACGGCUCACCAAGGCAACGAUGCAUAGCCGACCUGAGAGGGUGAUCGGCCACACUGGGACUGAGACACGGCCCAGACUCCUACGGGAGGCAGCAGUAGGGAAUCUUCGGCAAUGGACGAAAGUCUGACCGAGCAACGCCGCGUGAGUGAAGAAGGUUUUCGGAUCGUAAAACUCUGUUGUUAGAGAAGAACAAGGAUGAGAGUAAAAUGUUCAUCCCUUGACGGUAUCUAACCAGAAAGCCACGGCUAACUACGUGCCAGCAGCCGCGGUAAUACGUAGGUGGCAAGCGUUGUCCGGAUUUAUUGGGCGUAAAGCGAGCGCAGGCGGUUUCUUAAGUCUGAUGUGAAAGCCCCCGGCUCAACCGGGGAGGGUCAUUGGAAACUGGGAGACUUGAGUGCAGAAGAGGAGAGUGGAAUUCCAUGUGUAGCGGUGAAAUGCGUAGAUAUAUGGAGGAACACCAGUGGCGAAGGCGGCUCUCUGGUCUGUAACUGACGCUGAGCUCGAAAGCGUGGGGAGCGAACAGGAUUAGAUACCCUGGUAGUCCACGCCGUAAACGAUGAGUGCUAAGUGUUGGAGGUUUCCGCCCUUCAGUGCUGCAGCAAAACGCAUUAACGCACUCCGCUGGGGAGUACGACCCGCAAUGUUUGAAACUCAAAAGAACUUGACCGCGGCCCUGCACAAGCGUAGUAGCAUUGUAGAUUAUUCCA
rnacentral:rRNA from 1 species